rnacentral:rRNA from 1 species
UGCCAGACUCCUACGGGAGGCAGCAGUGGGGAAUAUUGCACAGUGGGGGAAACCCUGAUGCAGCGACGCCGCGUGAGUGAAGAAGUAAUUCGUUAUGUAAAGCUCUAUCAGCAGGGAAGAAAAUGACGGUACCUGAGUAAGAAGCCCCGGCUAACUACGUGCCAGCAGCCGCGGUAAUACGUAGGGGGCAAGCGUUAUCCGGAUUCACUGGGUGUAAAGGGAGCGUAGACGGCCAUGCAAGCCUGGAGUGAAAGCCCGGGGCCCAACCCCGGGACUGCUCUGGGAACUGUGCGGCUGGAGUGCGGGAGGGGCAGGCGGAAUUCCUGGUGUAGCGGUGAAAUGCGUAGAUAUCAGGAGGAACACCGGCGGCGAAGGCGGCCUGCUGGACCGCGACUGACGUUGAGGCUCGAAAGCGUGGGGAGCAAACAGGAUUAGAUACCCCCGUAA